rnacentral:ncRNA from 1 species
AAUGAGGAUUUCAUAAAAUCCACAAAUUAUCAUAAAUAAAUUUCAG